GGCGCGAUGGCGGAGUGGUUAACGCGAGAGACUAGAAUGUGACGUAUUGCUGCGUCAAAGCUAAUCUCUUCUCUUCGGAGGCGUAGGUUCGAAUCCUGCUCGCGUCG
rnacentral:tRNA from 3 species